UCACUAUUUUUAUUUCACUGUGAUCUGAAAGUGUGGUUGGUAUGAUCUCGAUUUUUUUGAAUUUAUUGAGAAUCACUUUAUGGCUGAGCUUGUGGUUAAUCUUACAAUAUGUUCCAUAUGCAUAUCAGAAGAAUGUACAUCCUGUGUUUGAUGGGUAUUCUGUAGACGUCCAAUUGGUUGAGUCACAUUGAAGUCUAGAAUUAAAUUUAAAUCAAAUUUAAGUCCAGAAUUUCUUUGUUAGUUUUUCUGCAUCUAUGAUCUAAUGCUGUCAAUGAGGUAUUGAAGUCUCCAACUAUUACCGUGUGACUAAGUCUUUUCAUAGGUCUAGAAGGUUUUAUGAGUCUGGGUGCGCCAAUGUUGGGUGUGUAUAUAUUUAGGAUAGUUAAGUCUUCUUGUGGAAUUGAACUCUUUAUCAUUGUGUACUAUCCUUCUUUAUCCUUUUUUUUUUUAACUGCUGUUGGUUUAAAGUCUAUUUUAUUUUAUAUAGGAAUAGUGACUUUGGUUAAAUAAUUUUUGAAAAUUUAAUCUGAGAUGAUUACCAAAUAGGGUUGCAUAUUAAUCUGAUUAACAAGGGGCAAGGAGUCUAGUCAGUAAACAAUUUGCAAGCCAUGACGUAAUUAGGUAAAAUGUUAAAUAGAGUUAAACUCGCUCCAAUUUAGUGACAUCUGUAAUCCAUUCAUUUUAAUUGAUUCAGCAGUUACUAUAUGCCAGACUGUACAGAUGCAGACUUUAAGCAGAUGAAAUCUCCAUCUUUGAGAUACUCACAGUCCAAUGGAGGGGGCAGGUGAGUCCACGUACAGGAAACAGCACGUGAAGACUGGAGGAGAGCUGUUUUUGUGAUGCACAGGAAAAUAGAGGAGCAUGUGCUUGACUCCACCAGUCAUUGGUGGCUCUCUUAAUACUGUUUUCUGUUUAAUCAUCAUCUUUAACUGCUAAUCAAAAAGUUCAUUCCACAAGUAUUUAAAGUUAAUUUAAAGAAGUGUCAGACACUGUUCAAACACUGAGACAAAAGGACAAGUGAUUUGCGUCUUUAAUGCCUUGUUCCCUUGAAACCAACCUAACCUACAUGAUUGGCAGUUGGGCAAGGGGAAGAGGGGAACUCCCUCAAUUUUUUCUGCCCUCCCUUCUCACCUAUCCUCCUGUGAGCAUUCUGUGUUUUACCUUUUACUGUUCUGUUCUCUCCUUUUUAGAUAGAGCUGUCUGGUUUGUUCUAGAAAUUAGUCAUUUUGGGUUAUGAGGUGAAGUACCUCCUAUGGAGAUGAGAGAUUUCUGGAAAUAUGAUUGCCAUGGAUUAGUGGAGAGAUUCUGCCUCUAGGUAGAGCCUUGUUUGGGUGAGAAAUGCUGAUGAGUUAACAGAGCUGAGCAUUCUGGAGCCAUGGAAUGCUGACCAUCCCCUUCAGGCUUCAUGGGGUCUAGAGGAGCAAAAAUCUAAAAGUCAUCAGAAAGUCUGUCCUUCUUCCUUUGCUGAAGGUAAGCAAUGGGAUAAUCUCACUGCUGAGAAAACAGUGUCUUAGUUGCAACCAAUUCUGUGGUCUCUCUGUCUGACAGGGAAAAGGUGGCUUCAUAAUAAAUGAUGAAUAUUACCAACAUUUAUCAACUACUUCCCAUGUGCCAGGUAUCUAAAUUCACUAUUUUAUUUAAUCCUCACAACCACUUUAUGGUAUCCUAUUACUAUACUCAUCUUCACAGAUAAAGAAAGCCCAGAGACACUGAUUUGUCUGUGGUCAUAGAGUUAGGAUGCGGCAGAACUAUGAUUCACAUGUUUUUCUCUCUGGAAGAAUCUAGCAACUCUGUGCUUAAAUGUUGCUCUCCAAUGUCUCACAAAUAGGAUCUGAAUGUCCAUGCUCAUGUUGUCUAGCUGUGUGAUCUUGGGGGGAAUCAUUUAACUUCUCCGAGUUUCAGUUUCUUCAUCUAUAAAAUGGAGGCAACAUCCCCUGAAUCAUAGGGUUUUUGGGAGAAUUCUAUGGGAUAAUACAUGUAAAACAAUAGAAUAAUGGUUGACCCGUAGAAAGUGUCUGACAAAUACUUCCCUCUAUUUCUACUGCCUCAUCUGUGGCAGGGAUAACUGCCUUCCAAGUUGGUUACAACAUCAAGGGUCUAAGGAUCCUCGAUAUGUUUAAUAUAAGGUAGUGAAGACACUCUCUUUUUUUUUGUCUGUGUACCAUGUCAUAUGCCUGGAAUGUUCCCUCUUGUUUACUCCAUCUGUAAGCUGUAAAUCAUGGCCCAUUAGUGAGUUAUUAAAUCAAGUUAAUGAGCUAUGAUCUCCAUUUUUUAAAAAGGAGAGAAACAAAUAGAACGGAAAAUAACAAAGUACACUGUAUACAAAAGGUGUUAUUCCUAUUUAACAAAACUUUUCUGUUUUAUGUGUGUAUGUAUUUACUGGGUCAGGAUAAAGAAUGUACUUCUUACUUUGCAUCUAAAUAUUUGAAAGGCUCUCGGUUACCUCAUAUAAGAGCUUCAAGAAUUAUUCGGAUAUGCUUCCAUGGAAGCAAUCAAGAUUCCAGGCCUUUCUAGAACUAACAGAUCUUUUCAUAUCACAUUGCAUUUAAUUAUCUUCCCUUCAUCUGUCUUCCCCAGCAGACAUAAGUUUCUUGCAGACAGGAAACAUGACUGUUACUGCUGUGUCCUCAGUGUCCAUUAUAGGUCCUUGCACAUAAUAUAUACUCAAAAAUGUUUGAUGAAGGCCUGAAUAAAUCACGGCAACUGUUUCUUAAAUCCACAUUCAAAACUCAGAGGUUAUUUGCCUGAACUCUCAAAAUCGAUAUCUUUUAUUAACAAAUGAACAGGGCUAAGUUUUUCUUUUACAUUAUUUCCUGUGACCUUUUUCUCCUUCCCCUUGGUGGAAUGAUUUGCUUUUUUUCCUUGCCCUCCUGGGUAUUCUAACUUUCCUUUUAUCAAAACAAAGGAUUAGAAAUUUGCACUUUUGUAUAAAUUUAAUCCCCCAUAUCUUUGGCUUCUCCUAGUAGCAUUUAUACAAAAGAUGCAUCCCUGUUACUAGCAGGAAAAGCCUUGUUAGUUCUUUAUUAUACCAGCUUUUAUCAGCUAAUAGGUAAGAAGGGAAAGGGAUAUUUGAGAGGGAGGGAGAUCUUCAUGAGCUCAUAAACUCACUCUUCCAAGGCAGUUGCCUGCCGUCUCUGCCCACAACAAAAGCCUCAAAAUACAUGCAAUAAAAUUCAUAUUCCAGUAGCUCACGAGCCUAAAUGCAUCUAUGUUUGAAGCAUUGAUAAUGUACUUGUGCAUCAUUUUGAAAAACAUUUUAUUCAUAUUUGUAACUUUACUUUUAAAUUAACUACAUGUUUCACAGUCUUCUACCACUAUAUGUUUCACAAUGCAGGAAAUACACAAUACAAGUAGCAUAUUAAAUCAAACAUACCCAAAUCAUUCCCAUAGAACAUGAACAGUUAACAUUAGCAAUAAUCAAUUCCGCUUGCACAGCACCACUAAAGUACUUCAAGCACUUCACACAAAAGAUUAAAGAAAAAAACUAUAAUUAGAUUAGAAAAUAGAGAGAGUUGGCUCAUGUUUAAAAUACCGCCUGGCUCAGAUAGUGCUGGUUACCACUCCCUUCAAAAUUUCAGGUAAACGAAUUGCCACCACCUGGGAAGAUCAUUUCUAGUGGGGAAAUGAAGGCAGCUUCUGCAAGACCCCAGGAAGUAAAAUAGGAAUAAGAAUUGGACCUACCUCAAGAUCUGUUGAGAAGAUUAUGAGAGAGCUGAUGGAUCUAAAAGAUUGGCGCUUGAUAGAAUUGGGAUCAUUUGUUUUGACUAGAACAAUCUCUUGCAGCUUGGAUGGAGAAACUUUAAAGAGGUUUCAGCCAAACACUUAGCAAUUCUUUAAUGUGUGAAAUAAAUUUGUACAACAAAAGGCUAAAAAUUUGGGAGAUGCAGGAUGACUGAAGCCCGAUUCUGGGGGUUGUUAUAGCACAGUUACAGGGAUAUCCUCAGGUGUCUGGUGAUCCUUGCUUAUAAGGCCAAACUAAUAAUGAGGCACUAAAAUGCUGAUUGGAAGCUCUCUGUGCAGGCAAGUAUUGUUGAAUAGUGGUAAACAGGUGAUGUGUUCAUUUUGGAGACACUCAAAUAUCAGGACCUAUAAAUCUCUAUGCCAAGUCAGUUUCCCCAGAGUCUCUUAAUAUCAUUUAUUUCAGGUUAAAAGCCUGGUUACCAGGUUCUGGGAGUGAAGGGAGGAGAGGGGCUUAGACAAGUGUCGGGGUGGGAGUAUGUCUCAUAAUUCACUAAGUACCUUCUUUCAUAUCUGUGUUCCCUGUGCAGCAUUUUACCCCCACCAUCAUCCAUGUCUGAUGCCUAAGGUCCAAUCUGGUUCAGUCUUUCCAAAGAGGAAACAUUGGCUGGGUGGGAAUGAUUGGCAGGUCGAAGAGAGAAUUUGAAGCUCUAGCUGCUCCUUUUAAAACUUCUAACUAAUCUUUGUGUUUUCAGGACUUCCUCACAUCCAUGUCUUCAGAUACCCAAGGCCUUUAAUACCCGAGUCCUUCCUGGAUUCUGCACAUCUCAUUAGCUUCAUAUUCCUUCUAUUUGAAAAGCUCAUAUGGACCCAGCUCUGUCAUCAUCACAUGUUCUAUGUCCCCAAACCUUGUGACAUCUGCAAAAAAGUACAGAAGACCUCAAAGAGAAGAUAUCAUAGUGCCUCAGAUUCCCUUUCAAGACUGAGACACUUUCUACUCCAGAUGCCCUUGGCUGAAGACAGCUUCUAUUUAAACAGCCUAAAACUUUAUGGAGGAAGAUAUUAUGUCUUAUUUAACUGUGCACACUCAGCUCUUAGUACAAAGGCUGCAUCAUAUCUAAAUGUAACAACUACAAACUGAAGAAACCUGCCAUGGGGGUGACAAAAGUGGAUUUGGAGUGAAUCUCCCUUGCUGUUCUCUCCUCCUCCAGAGAUAGAAGACACAAUUCACAAAUAGACCAUCUUUCAAAUGCAAGCAACAGUCCCUCCUCUCUGCCUCCUGUGUCCAUAUAUAAUUCUCUUAAACAGCAUAAAUCUCAUUUCUAUGCA